CUACAAACGGCUCUAAUUUUGUUUGUAAUUUUUUGAUGGUAAUAUCUAAUUCUUGUAGAUCUUCCUUUCUUUGUAUUAUAAUUAUGUUAAUCAUCGUAAUGGAGAAAGAUUCAAGAGCAUUUGUCCAAAUUCCCAUAAAUUUGGUAUUAUCCAAGUCAAAAGUGGGAAAUUUGGUGAAUCUCAACCCUCUAGGUGUAAUUUUGUCUUUGAGGUAUUUUUCCAAAGUGAAAAUCUCCCAUUUUAUUUUUAUUUCCCUACUUAGUAGUUUUUCCAGCUGAUGAAUCAUAUCAUCUAGGUUAUCACUAAU